rnacentral:rRNA from 1 species
UUUUACAUACAGGACAAUGGGGAGUUAUGGCAUUCCCNUAGAAUUCGAAUCUACCCGUAGUCAAAAUUCCGAGUGGGGCUUUGGAUAUUGCCCCAUAGCGGGUGAGAUUCCCGUACGUAUAGAUUUCUUGUUGUUAUGCAGUCUUCAGAUGUGCGUGCUUUUGAGUCGGAUUGCUUGAGAAUGCAGUCCAAAGUGGGUGGUAAACUCCAUCCAAGGCUAAAUACUGGCACGAGUCCGAUAGUAGACAAGUACCGUGAGGGAAAGUUGAAAAGUACUCUGAAGAGAGAGUAAAUAGCACGUGAAGCCGGUUGCAGGGAAGCUGGUGGAGUCAAGCUUCAUGCUUGAGAAAUUUGUGCAAGUAACUUUGUGUUCAUUGUAUGCAUGGUCGGUCAACUUGGAAUAAGUUGGGUGCAUUCGUGUACUUCAAGUCAUUCUGGGUAGUGUGUUUGGGCCGAUCAUGUACUACUGUUGCUUGUACCCUAUUUCUCGUUGCAUAAAUCAGGGUCUAUAGCCUUGUUUGUUGACGUGCUGUAUGAUCGUCUAACUGUGCUAUGGCUGACUUUGUGUUUGUCUGGUACAGGAUGGCAGGUUGAGGCUUCAGUCCUUGUGAUUGUUAGUCUCUUAUAGUGGUUUUGACCAGCCGAUGUUCAUGCAGUAUCGUGGCUAUAGUUGUUCCGUUGGUACACAGUUCUCAUCAACUGUGUAUCAGUAAGAACCCUGAUUCUGAGGUAGA